rnacentral:rRNA from 1 species
AGCAGCCGCGGUAAUUCCAGCUCCAAUAGCGUAUAUUAAAGUUGUUGCAGUUAAAAAGCUCGUAGUUGAAUUUCGGGAUCAAAUUGUCGGUCGUGCCUCGGUACGUACUGGCGUUAUUGGUUCCUCCCUUCUGAAGAACCACGAUGUCAUUAAUUUGGUGUCGCGGGGAAUCAGGACUGUUACUUUGAAAAAAUUAGAGUGUUUAAAGCAGGCUCGCGCUUGAAUACAUUAGCAUGGAAUAAUGAAAUAGGACGUUUGAUUCUAUUUUGUUGGUUUCUAGGAUCGACGUAAUGAUUAAUAGGGAUAGUUGGGGGCAUUAGUAUUCAAUUGUCAGAGGUGAAAUUCUUGGAUUUAUUGAAGACUAACUACUGCGAAAGCAUUUGCCAAGGAUGUUUUCAUUAAUCAAGAACGAAAGUUAGGGGAUCGAAGACGAUCAGAUACCGUCGUAGUCUUAACCAUAAACUAUGCCGACUAGGGAUCGGAUGAUGUAAUUUUUAAUGACUCAUUCGGCGCCUUACGG